rnacentral:ncRNA from 1 species
AAAACGACUUUGAUGGAAAUUAGUAGCUGAACUGACGGCACCUAGGGAGAAAUGAUCAUCGACUGCAAGUCAUUUCUGCUUUCAUCAGUGAAUUUCACUUCCGGAGUUGGUACCUUGUAUCCCGGUUGACGACCGUUAUCAGUCAUUUGAGCGUAUGACAUUGUCAUAAACCAGGGUGGUACCGCGAACAACUCGUCCCUCGA